AGAGCGAACGCUGGCGGCAGGCCUAACACAUGCAAGUCGAGCGCCCGUAGCAAUACGGGAGCGGCAGACGGGAUAGUAACACGUGGGAACGCGCCCUUCGGUUCGGAAUAACUCAGGGAAACUUGAGCUAAUACCGGAUACGCCCUUACGGGGAAAGAUUUAUUGCCGAAGGAACGGCCCGCGUCCGAUUAGCUAGUUGGUGAGGUAAUGGCUCACCAAGGCGACGAUCGGUAGCUGGUCUGAGAGGAUGACCAGCAUCACUGGGACUGAGGCACGGCCCAGACUCCUACGGGAGGCAGCAGUGGGGAAUAUGGACAAUGGGCGCAAGCCUGAUCCAGCCAUGCCGCGUGGAUGAUGAAGGCCUUAGGGUUGUAAAGUCCUUUUAACGGGGAAGAUAAGUGACGGUACCCGUAGAAUAAGCCCCGGCUAACUUCGCGCCAGCAGCCGC
rnacentral:rRNA from 1 species